rnacentral:rRNA from 1 species
CCCGCCGGCGACCGGCGCACGGGUGAGUAACACGUAUGAAACCUGCCCGUAGCAGGGGGAUAAGCGGAAGAAAUUCCGUCUAAUACCGCGUAACAACCCAUGGAGGCAUCUCUGUGGGUUUAAAGGAAGCGAUUCCGGCUACGGAUGGUCAUGCGUCGCAUUAGCUUGUUGGCGGGGGUAACGGCCCACCAAGGCGACGAUGCGUAGGGGUUCUGAGAGGAAGGUCCCCCACACUGGUACUGAGACACGGACCAGACUCCUACGGGAGGCAGCAG